GCGAACGCUGGCGGCAGGCCUAACACAUGCAAGUCGAACGAACCUUUCGGGGUUAGUGGCGGACGGGUGAGUAACACGUGGGAACGUGCCUUUAGGUUCGGAAUAACUCAGGGAAACUUGUGCUAAUACCGAAUGUGCCCUUCGGGGGAAAGAUUAAUCGCCUUUAGAGCGGCCCGCGUCUGAUUAGCUAGUUGGUUGAGGUAAUGGCUCACCAAGGCGACGAUCAGUAGCUGGUCUGAGAGGAUGAUCAGCCACAUUGGGACUGAGACACGGCCCGAACUCCUACGGGAGGCAGCAGUGGGAAAUCUUGCGCAAUGGGCGAAAGCCUGACGCAGCCAUGCCGCGUGAAUGAUGAAGGUCUUAGGAUUGUAAAAUUCUUUCACCGGGGACGAUAAUGACGGUACCCGGAGAAGAAGCCCCGGCUAACUUCGUG
rnacentral:rRNA from 1 species